rnacentral:lncRNA from 1 species
AAAUAUAUAUUAUAUAUAUGAAAUUUAACACUGGAGAUGAAAAAAAAGAAAAGAGAAAGUAGCUAGUUUGAAUAAAAAGUUAAGGGAAGAUUUUUUUUUCUUUUAGGAUUUAGGACACCUGAGCACAUUUGUUAGGUUUAUGGGGAAAAAAAUCACUGGAAAGUAAUUGAUGGAUUUGCAUGAAAGAGAGGAAAAAAUGGAAGGAGUCAAGUUUUGGAAGGCCAGAGGGGAUGGAAUGAACAGUAAAGAUGUAUGGAAAGUUGCAUAUUCUCUCUCCAUCUUGAGCCAAGG